AGUUUCAAAAUUACAGAAACUCGGACCACACUUGAGAACUGAUACAAACUUGCUGGGUUAUACUUAUGCCAACUAUAAUCACACUUGCUGGGGUCAUCUACGGUGCACAACUGGUCAUUCCUGGUAAACAAAUCUGCAGAAAUUUAUUCUCACUCUUUUCAGCUUAUCAUUAUAUCCAAUAAUGCUAAGAACAUGUAAAUAUGUAUGUUACACCUUCAUGGAAUAUUAGUACGUAAUGGGUGCAAAUUUGGUCUUAAUGGAGAAUUGCAGGAUUGCUGUAGGGACCUUUGAGCCACCCGUUGGCUAUGGACUGAUACGCGGUUUCGGUUAAGUGGAUUCCGUCCCAGCUCAGGUAGUCCUGGGGGUCGGGGCAGGCGCUGGCCCCCGACAUGCC
rnacentral:lncRNA from 1 species